rnacentral:tRNA from 1 species
GAGCCCGUAGCUCAGUUGGCAGAGCAUCGCCCUUUUAAGGCGGUUGUCGAUGGUUCGAAUCCAUCCGGGCUCA